rnacentral:rRNA from 1 species
UACGUAGGUGGCAAGCGUUGUCCGGAUUUAUUGGGUUUAAAGGGUGCGUAGGCGGCCCUGUAAGUCAGUGCUGAAAUAUCCCGGCUUAACCGGGAGGGUGGCAUUGAUACUGCGGGGCUAGAGUACAGGUGAGGUAGGCGGAAUUGACGGUGUAGCGGUGAAAUGCUUAGAUAUCGUCAAGAACACCUAUUGCGAAGGCAGCUUACUAAGCUUUAACUGACGCUGAUGCACGAAAGUGUGGGGAUCAAACAGG